rnacentral:rRNA from 1 species
GUUUAUUUGAUGGUUGGAUAACCGUAUUAAUUUAGAGAUGCUUGCAGAAUGUCCCGACGGUGAGUCAUGAUAACUGCUCGAACCGCGUGGGUGCUGGGGGGGCUUCAUUCAAAUUUCUGCCCUAUCAACUUUCGAUGGUACGGUAGUGGCCUACCAAGUUGCAACGGGGACGGAUAAUUAGGGUUCGGUUCCCGAGAGGCUGAGAACUGCUACCACAUCCAUUAGCAGGCGCGCAAUUACCAAUCCCGACUCGGGGAGGUAGUGACAAUAAAUAACAAUGCUGGUCUGGCAAUUGGAAUGAGACAAUCUAAAUAACGAGAACAAGGGCAAGUCUGGUGCCUUCCAGCUCCAAUAGCGUAUAUUAAAGUUGUUGGAUUUCGGGGGCCUGACGGUCCGCCCGAGGUGGUCCCUCUCGAAAGCCCCGUCUGCUCUUCAUUGUCGGGGUUCGGGACGUUUACUUUGAAAAAAUUAGAGUGUUCAAGGCAGGCCGAAUACAUUAGCAUGGAAUAAUGGAAGAGGAUUUUGUUGGUUUCUGGGCCGAAGUAAUGAUUAAGAGGGACAGUUGGGGGCAUUCGUAUUAAUUGUCAGAGGUGAAUUCUCGGAUUUAUGAAAGACGAACAACUGCGAAAGCAUUUGCCAAGA